rnacentral:rRNA from 1 species
AGCUGCGGCAGCGACACUAUGUGUUGUUGGGUAGGGGAGCGUUCUGUAAGCCUGUGAAGGUGGCCUGUGAGGGUUGCUGGAGGUAUCAGAAGUGCGAAUGCUGACAUAAGUAACGAUAAAGCGGGUGAAAAGCCCGCUCGCCGGAAGACCAAGGGUUCCUGUCCAACGUUAAUCGGGGCAGGGUGAGUCGACCCCUAAGGCGAGGCCGAAAGGCGUAGUCGAUGGGAAACAGGUUAAUAUUCCUGUACUUGGUGUUACUGCGAAGGGGGGACGGAGAAGGCUAUGUUGGCCGGGCGACGGUUGUCCCGGUUUAAGCGUGUAGGCUGGUUUUCCAGGCAAAUCCGGAAAACCAAGGCUGAGGCGUGAUGACGAGGCACUACGGUGCUGAAGCGACAAAUGCCCUGCUUCCAGGAAAAGCCUCUAAGCAUCAGGUAACAUCAAAUCGUACCCAAAACCGACACAGGUGGUCAGGUAGAGAAUACCAAGGCGCUUGAGAGAACUCGGGUGAAGGAACUAGGCAAAAUGGUGCCGUAACUUCGGGAGAAGGCACGCUGAUAUGUAGGUGAAGCGACUUGCUCGUGGAGCUGAAAUCAGUCGAAGAUACCAGCUGGCUGCAACUGUUUAUUAAAAACACAGCACUGUGCAAACACGAAAGUGGACGUAUACGGUGUGACGCCUGCCCGGUGCCGGAAGGUUAAUUGAUGGGGUUAGCGGUAACGCGAAGCUCUUGAUCGAAGCCCCGGUAAACGGCGGCCGUAACUAUAACGGUCCUAAGGUAGCGAAAUUCCUUGUCGGGUAAGUUCCGACCUGCACGAAUGGCGUAAUGAUGGCCAGGCUGUCUCCACCCGAGACUCAGUGAAAUUGAACUCGCUGUGAAGAUGCAGUGUACCCGCGGCAAGACGGAAAGACCCCGUGAACCUUUACUAUAGCUUGACACUGAACAUUGAGCCUUGAUGUGUAGGAUAGGUGGGAGGCUUUGAAGUGUGGACGCCAGUCUGCAUGGAGCCGACCUUGAAAUACCACCCUUUAAUGUUUGAUGUUCUAACGUUGGCCCGUAAUCCGGGUUGCGGACAGUGUCUGGUGGGUAGUUUGACUGGGGCGGUCUCCUCCUAAAGAGUAACGGAGGAGCACGAAGGUUGGCUAAUCCUGGUCGGACAUCAGGAGGUUAGUGCAAUGGCAUAAGCCAGCUUGACUGCGAGCGUGACGGCGCGAGCAGGUGCGAAAGCAGGUCAUAGUGAUCCGGUGGUUCUGAAUGGAAGGGCCAUCGCUCAACGGAUAAAAGGUACUCUGGGGAUAACAGGCUGAUACCGCCCAAGAGUUCAUAUCGACGGCGGUGUUUGGCACCUCGAUGUCGGCUCAUCACAUCCUGGGGCUGAAGUAGGUCCCAAGGGUAUGGCUGUUCGCCAUUUAAAGUGGUACGCGAGCUGGGUUUAGAACGUCGUGAGACAGUUCGGUCCCUAUCUGCCGUGGGCGCUGGAGAACUGAGGGGGGCUGCUCCUAGUACGAGAGGACCGGAGUGGACGCAUCACUGGUGUUCGGGUUGUCAUGCCAAUGGCACUGCCCGGUAGCUAAAUGCGGAAGAGAUAAGUGCUGAAAGCAUCUAAGCACGAAACUUGCCCCGAGAUGAGUUCUCCCUGACUCCUUGA